GCGUCUGGUCUUGUCGGUCAUUUAAGAUAGGAUGAAAAAUGAAUCCAUCCGAAGGGAACAUUCCUUCCCCACCCACCGCCCAACCUACUAAAUAGGGUAGAAAAUGCCCUUCAAAAACGACAAAGUAAAAAAUAUCUGAAAUUCGAGAGAAUUGAUUCUAGUUCACCUUCUUUUGCUCAGCAUAAUCUUACUGAUUUUGGCUUUUAUGGCGGAAGGAACUAUCAACG
rnacentral:lncRNA from 1 species